CCUACGGGGGCUGCAGUGGGGAAUAUUGGACAAUGUGCGAAAGCCUGAUCCAGCCAUGCCGCGUGUGUGAAGAAGGCCUUCGGGUUGUAAAGCACUUUCAGUGGGGAAGAAAGCCUUGGGGCUAAUACCCUCGAGGAAGGACAUCACCCACAGAAGAAGCACCGGCUAACUCCGUGCCAGCAGCCGCGGUAAUACGGAGGGUGCGAGCGUUAAUCGGAAUUACUGGGCGUAAAGCGCGCGUAGGCGGUCUGAUAAGCCGGUUGUGAAAGCCCCGGGCUCAACCUGGGAACGGCAUCCGGAACUGUCAGGCUAGAGUGCAGGAGAGGAAGGUAGAAUUCCCGGUGUAGCGGUGAAAUGCGUAGAGAUCGGGAGGAAUACCAGUGGCGAAGGCGGCCUUCUGGACUGACACUGACGCUGAGGUGCGAAAGCGUGGGUAGCAAACAGGAUUAGAUACCCGAGUAGUC
rnacentral:rRNA from 1 species